AUCGCUUCUCGGCCUUUUGGCUAAGAUCAAGUGUAGUAUCUGUUCUUAUCAGUUUAUUAUCUGAUACGUCCUCUAUCUGAGAACAAUAUAUUAAAUAGUUUUUUGAAUGUGGGAGAUGGAAUAGGAGCUUUCUCUGUUCACUCCACGCAUUGACCCAGUAUUGCAGUACUUCCGGGAACAGGGUACUUCCU
rnacentral:snRNA from 1 species